AGGACGGUUCCGCGUCGUUCCACGGUUGCUACGAGCGGCGUCGGCGUCGGCGUCGUUCGGCGUCGUCGUCGUCGUCGUCGUCGACGUCGUCGUCGUCGUCGUCGUCGUUAUCGCCGGCGUCAGAGCGAACACGCAGCUGCCAAGGGCAGUCUCCGGUUCUCGGUCCAGUCUGCCAUACGCCGUCGUUUCGUACGCACGAACGUCGAGCGGACUCGCGCGCGCGUGUGCACGAGAAAGAGAGAGAGAGAAAGAAAGAAAAAGAGAUAGAGAGAGAGAGACACACACACACACACACAUACAUACACACACAUAUACACAUUCACACAUACGCACGAACAGACAGACGGAUAGACGUAUAACACAUAAGGAUUUAUUAAUAAUUGUAUAGAAACUCAUCUCGUUUUUAUCUUCUACCAUCUUCGUUUUUAUCGUUUAAUGUUUUUCUUCCUUCUCCUUUCUACUUGCCCGUUCGAUUUUGAAUAUUAUACGUUUUAUUUUCUCCGAUUAUUCUCAUCACGAUGCGGAAAAAUCUAAUCGUCGUGUUGUGUGUGCGUGUCUCGUGAUUGUGUUUCGUCUGUUCGAGAGAUCCGAGAAAUUGUUCCAACCGAUAGAGACUGCUAAAUACGGUUUAAAUACGGUGACGUUUAUGAUUAUUGUGGGUUGAUGAUUGUUAACAUUUUUGUAAGCACGAACGUGCAGAUUUUUGUUCACUUUUCUGUGACAUCUCAACGAUAAAGGGAAUGUGCUGUCAACUGGCUGAAGGCGCAAGGGUUAGAAUCUUUCAUCACUCGUGUUUCUUGUUUUCUUCUUCGUGGAAGAUAAGGAUCGACACGAUGCUCUAACGAAGAUUUCUCAGCAGCGUGAAUUUCUUCGAGAGAGUCAGGAGGAGCUGAAGACGAGGAGGGUAGUCAUUGAAGGAGGGGAAAAAAAGGAGCAGGAAAAGAAAGAGAAGGAGAAAAAAAAGAAGAAGAAGAAGAAGAAGAAGAAGUAGGAGGAGAAAUAAGAGGAGAAGAAAUAGAAGGAAGAAGAGAAGGAAGAGUAAGGAUAGAAGAGGGUGGUGGUAGUUGUUACAAGAGUGGAAGAGAGAAGAGAGACGGUGGGGCGAACCGGAACCGGAAAUGGCUGCGAGGUGGCUCCUACUGGCGCUCCUCGCCGCCCAUGCCGUGGCUCUUCCUGAUAUCAUUAGGAUAGGUGGGCUGUUUCAUCCGUCCGACGACAAACAGGAAGUGGCCUUUCGUUACGCCGUAGAAAAAAUCAACGCCAACAGGGACAUUCUGCCCAAGUCUCGUCUCAGUGCCCAGAUUGAGCAGAUAAAACCGCAAGACAGUUUUCACGCUUCCAAGAGAGUGUGCCAUUUGCUGCGGAGUGGCGUAGCUGCAAUUUUUGGACCUCAAAGUGCGCACACUGCUUCCCACGUGCAGAGCAUCUGCGACACUAUGGAAAUACCGCACUUGGAGACACGCUGGGAUUACAGACUAAGAAGACAGAGCUGCCUCGUCAACCUUUAUCCUCAUCCUACUACCCUCUCGAAGGCGUACGUUGACCUUGUGAAGGCAUGGGGUUGGAAAAGCUUUACCAUCAUAUACGAGAACAACGAAGGACUGGUGCGAUUGCAAGAGCUUUUAAAAGCUCACGGUCCGAGCGAAUUCCCCAUUACCGUUAGACAACUUAGUGAAGGCUCGGAAUAUCGGCCAUUGCUGAAGCAGAUAAAGAACUCGGCUGAGUCACACAUAGUGCUGGACUGUUCCACCGAAAGGAUUUACGAUGUGUUGAAGCAAGCUCAACAAAUAGGAAUGAUGAGCGACUAUCACAGUUACCUCAUCACUUCUUUGGAUCUUCAUAGCGUCGAUUUAGAAGAAUUUAAACAUGGCGGGACCAAUAUCACUGCCUUCCGUCUGGUUGAUCCAGAAAAGCCAGAGAUUCAGCGAGUUGUACAAGACUGGAUCUAUGGUGAGAAGCGUUAUAAUCGUGAACUCGACAUGGGCCAGGCAUCUAAUAAGAACAACCUGACGUGCAUAAAGACUGAAACCUCUUUGAUGUACGAUGCCGUACAUCUUUUUGCAAAGGCAUUACAUGAUCUGGAUACUUCUCAACAGAUCGACAUUAAACCACUUUCCUGCGAAUCCACUGACACCUGGCCUCAUGGAUAUUCUCUAAUUAAUUACAUGAAAAUCGUCGAAAUGACCGGUUUAACCGGUAUCAUCAAAUUCGAUCAUCAAGGAUUCCGUUCGGAUUUCAUUCUUGAUAUUAUUGAACUUAAUAAUAAGGAUGGUUUGAAAAAAAUCGGUACGUGGAACAGCACCAAGGGUAUAAAUUUUACGAGAAGCUACGGGGACGUUUAUACGCAAAUCGUCGAAAAUUUACAGAACAAAACUUUCAUCGUGACAACGAUAUUGAGUGCUCCAUACUGUAUGCGGAAGGAUUCGAGCGAGAAGCUUACCGGAAAUGCGCAAUUCGAGGGAUACAGCGUCGACUUGAUUUACGAGAUAUCGCGAAUCCUCGGCUUCAAUUAUACCUUCAGACUAGUGCCGGAUGGCCGUUACGGUUCGUACAAUAAGCAGACCAAGGAAUGGGAUGGGAUGAUGAAGGAGCUUCUAGACCAAAAGGCCGACCUCGCCAUCGCUGAUUUAACCAUUACUUACGACCGUGAACAGGCAGUUGAUUUUACGAUGCCUUUUAUGAAUUUAGGGAUAAGCAUACUUUAUCGUAAGCCGAUAAAGCAACCACCGAAUCUCUUCUCGUUUCUCAGUCCAUUAAGCCUUGACGUUUGGAUUUACAUGGCCACAGCUUAUCUAGGGGUGUCCGUUUUGUUGUUUAUUCUAGCAAGAUUCACACCGUACGAGUGGUACAAUCCUCAUCCAUGCAACAAAAACCCGGAUCAUCUGGAAAAUCGGUUCAAGCUACUCAACUGCCUCUGGUUCACCAUUGGAUCGUUAAUGCGGCAGGGUUGCGAUAUUCUGCCUAAGUUCAGCCCCUACGAGUGGGAGAAUCCCCAUCCGUGCAACGGGCAGUCCGAGGUCCUCGAAAAUGAGUUCACCCUGAUGAACUCGCUCUGGUUCACCAUAGGCUCGCUCAUGCAGCAAGGCUCUGAUAUAGCGCCGAAGGCCGUAUCAACACGUAUGGUAGCCGGUAUGUGGUGGUUCUUCACACUUAUCAUGAUAUCGUCGUAUACUGCAAAUCUUGCUGCAUUUCUUACCGUCGAGAGAAUGGAUUCGCCGAUCGAGAGCGCCGAAGAUCUUGCAAAACAAACAAAGAUAAAAUACGGCGCCUUGAAGGGCGGCAGCACUGCUGCCUUUUUCAGGGAUUCCAAUUUCUCGACGUAUCAGCGCAUGUGGUCCUUCAUGGAUUCGGCGAAGCCGACGGUAUUUACAUCGAGCAACGUCGAGGGCGUAGAUCGAGUGAUCAAGGGAAAGGGAAGCUACGCAUUCCUAAUGGAAUCCACUUCCAUUGAAUACGUAAUCGAGAGGAACUGCGACCUAACUCAAGUCGGCGGUCUCUUGGACUCGAAAGGAUAUGGCAUAGCCAUGCCACCAAAUUCGCCGUACAGGACGGCUAUAAGCGGAGCCAUACUGAAACUUCAAGAAGAAGGGAAGCUGCACUUACUGAAGACUCGAUGGUGGAAGGAGAAACGUGGAGGUGGAUCCUGCAGGGACGACACGUCAAAGAGCAGUUCAGCAGCGAACGAGUUGGGUCUAGCGAAUGUUGGUGGCGUAUUCGUUGUUCUGAUGGGUGGCAUGGGCGUUGCCUGUGUAAUAGCAGUCUGCGAGUUCGUCUGGAAGAGCAGGAAGGUCGCGAUCGAGGAACGGGUGAGUGUCGUCAGAUAGCACGUGGAGGAGGGCGCGAUCGCGCCGGAAGUCAACUCUGCAAACACGCAUCUCGAUCCGGACGCGAUCUAUCCCGACAUACCACGCGAAUACAUCAGUUGAUGUUCGCACGAUGGUGGAGUUUCUCUUUAAUGGUCCCAGUGCAACUACAAGACUACUCGGGUCUGAUCCGUAACCGGCUGUCGUCAUAAUUUCCUUCAAGAAAGCAGAAAUCAUCGGGGAAACCGAUCUGCGAAGGUUUUACUGAUCUGCACUAGCGAGCAAUGCUAUUCGCCACGCUUCAAAAACAGAUUCCUAAGCCCGAGCCGGUACAACUAAGUGUAUCCGACCCGAGUUCGAUGGACCUAAGGAAGAACUCCAUCAUGAGUGACCGAGAAUCGUGUAUAAACGACAUACCAAUCGAAGAAACGAAAUAAUCGAGAGAAGAAGCAAGCAGCCUCGACCUUUCCAAUUUUUCAAUAAUGUAAUCUGUAUAGAUUUUUAAUAUUUAAUAUCAAUGGCCUUCAAAAUUGAUCGUCUCUCCGUUCGAAAGCGAUCGAUGGAGGGAAAAGAAAAACUUAAAGAAAAAGAAAAGAAAAGAAAAGAAAAUUAGAAAGUCUCGAUUUCUUGCUAUAUCUCUCGACGAUUAUAAUUUUUAUCUCUUCGAUCAUCCACCGAAAAGUUUUCGUUUGAUACUUUCGUAACUCUCGAAACUUCCGUUUUAAAGUUGAAAGUUUAUCGUGCCAACUUUCGAGGGUAAACGUUCGAACGAUGGUCUAUAAUCUAACUUGUUCUUGAGAGGAUAUAAUAUUAAAAAGAAAUAAAAAAAAAAAAAAAAAAAAAAAGAAAGAAAGAAAAAGAAACAAAAAGAAAACGAGAAAAGAAAGAGAAAAAAUUGAUUCGUAGAAAAAGUCAAAAGUAAAAAAGAAAAAAUAAGGCUCGACGAUGAACAAUCGAUUUCAAAUUCAAUCUCUCGAAAUUCUUCUCGAAACCUUUUCCAGCUUCGUGGCCAACAGAAUUGACACCUUUUUGAGGGUAGCCGACGACAAAUCGUUUUCCCACUGGUCAAACAAGCGCGCGCACGUGCGCGUGCGCCUGUGCGUGGACGUGUGUAUGCGUGUAUAUGUGUAUGUGUGUAUGACAGGCCAUUGUCGAGGGGAAAAGCAAAUAGUUGUACUCUCGAGCUUGACCUCGAAAGGGUUAAUCGAGUGGAGGGACGCAUCGUUGGCAAACAGGCUGGCGAAGUCGAGUUUCGGUUGGUCCUUCGAACCUGAACUCAAAAUUGGAAAGGUCAAUCGCGUUUGCGUCUCGCUCAUAUACGUAAACGCACGUAAAUACACACAUUGUUCAUAUCACAAAAAUAAACAAACAAACAAACAAACAAACAAACAAACAAACAAAUAUACAAACAAACAAGCGAACGAACAAACAAUAAAUACAUAAAUAAAAAAUUCAAACAAA